UGUGCUCCGCUACCUGAGUCGCAUCCUUGAAGUAUUGAGAAUUGAGGACUAUAAAGAAUACACCUGAAAAGCAUGAAAAACAGGGUGUUGAGGUAUAAGGAACCUGAUUUCAAGCUUCAAAGAAAAGCUAAGAAAGAGGACAAAAUGAACGGUCUUGAAGCCUUUUAAGUGAUAAAUGUUUCAGGAAAUAAGAACAAAAUAGCUAAUGAAACUGGAAUGGAAAAUCUAUUAGCUAAAGCAAGGAUAAAAUGACAAGUUUUAUAACAGUUCACUAAAACAUUCAGAUAGAAAUAGGCAUUGUUUGGUCACUGAUGAUAUACAAGGAGCAGAUAAUUUGCUGGUGAUUAGAGAAACAAGAAAACACACUCAUAAUAAAAUACAAAUUAUUGAUAACGAUCAGGAAAAAAGUUAAGCAUUAAAAAAAUAGUAAAAGAAAAUGCGGUACAUAUGCUACAUAUGUACAAAUUGGAAAAUAAUUAAAGUCCAUAUAACCUUUCAGA